AGAGUUUGAUCCUGGCUCAGGAUGAACGCUAGCGACAGGCUUAACACAUGCAAGUCGAGGGGCAGCAUGGUAGGUAGCAAUACUUAUUGAUGGCGACCGGCGCACGGGUGAGUAACGCGUAUGCAACUUACCUAUCAGAGGGGGAUAGCCCGGCGAAAGUCGGAUUAAUACUCCAUAAAACAGGGGUUCCGCAUGGGACUAUUUGUUAAAGAUUCAUCGCUGAUAGAUAGGCAUGCGUUCCAUUAGGCAGUUGGCGGGGUAACGGCCCACCAAACCGACGAUGGAUAGGGGUUCUGAGAGGAAGGUCCCCCACAUUGGUACUGAGACACGGACCAAACUCCUACGGGAGGCAGCAGUGAGGAAUAUUGGUCAAUGGCCGAGAGGCUGAACCAGCCAAGUCGCGUGAAGGAUGAAGGAUCUAUGGUUUGUAAACUUCUUUUAUAGGGGAAUAAAGUGUGGGACGUGUCCCAUUUUGUAUGUACCCUAUGAAUAAGCAUCGGCUAACUCCGUGCCAGCAGCCGCGGUAAUACGGAGGAUGCGAGCGUUAUCCGGAUUUAUUGGGUUUAAAGGGUGCGUAGGUGGUAAUUUAAGUCAGCGGUGAAAGUUUGUGGCUCAACCAUAAAAUUGCCGUUGAAACUGGGUUACUUGAGUGUGUUUGAGGUAGGCGGAAUGCGUGGUGUAGCGGUGAAAUGCAUAGAUAUCACGCAGAACUCCAAUUGCGAAGGCAGCUUACUAAACCAUAACUGACACUGAAGCACGAAAGCGUGGGUAUCAAACAGGAUUAGAUACCCUGGUAGUCCACGCAGUAAACGAUGAUUACUAGGAGUUUGCGAUACACAGUAAGCUCUACAGCGAAAGCGUUAAGUAAUCCACCUGGGGAGUACGCCGGCAACGGUGAAACUCAAAGGAAUUGACGGGGGCCC
rnacentral:rRNA from 1 species